rnacentral:ncRNA from 2 species
AAUUUCAUAUGGCUGGCAGAUGCGAAAGCAUAAAAGAGAAUCCGGUCUAAGCCGGAGCGGUCCCGCCACUGUAAGGAGGAGUCUCUCACAGAUAAGUCACUGGGCGAAAGUCUGGGAAGGCGUGAAGAGAUGAGGAGCCCGAGCCAGGAGAACUAUCUGCCAAUGAAUCACCGC